rnacentral:misc_RNA from 1 species
AAGUGUUCCUCAUCCGCAAGAGCGCGCGCAGGACGAGCCAUCGGGGCGUGGACGAAUCGCCGAAGCAGAGCAAAGAAGCCGUCAUUUAUCGCCAUCCACGCGGGUGCACCCUCGAUACGCUCCGACAGAGAAGAGGCGUUGGCGCGACCGCGGAGUCAGUCGCCAGCGUGCGCACGCGCCGUUCGACCCUCCUGUUUCCAUCGCUGCUGCUCCUGCUGCGUACCUUGUCCGCGUUUCGGUUGCCACUCAUCUUUGGCGGGAGUUUGAUCUUCGAUAUUUUCGCUGCGGUUCUCUCCUGUCGAGGAGGGACGGAGGGAAUCGCUGCCGAUUAAGACACACACACACACACACACACGUACGCGUGUGCGGGGUGGCAACAUGUCCGCUAAUGACUCCCUGGGGCUGCUGAGAGAGGAGCAGCGCCGGCGCUUCGAGGCCGCCAAGAGAGAAGGCAACACACCAGAGGUGCGCAAGUGCGACGCGUGCCAGCAGCCCACCUACUCCGCCAACGUGUGCCCUGCCUCAGGGCUCUUCCACGACCUCGACAAGAAGAAGCUUAUCGGCGGCUCUGUCGUCACCUCCAACGUCAUCUCGUCGUCACAGCUCAUGGCGGCCAUUGACCAGACACGCGUGAAGUGGGUGCCCAGUCGCACGCAACUGGUGAAGGUGGACGCACAGUCCAUCAACAUCUUCCAGAGCUUCGUGGCUCAGAUGGAUUGGAAGCUGCAGCGCUACGCCAUCCUCUACGGCCUCUACGAUGACGCCACGCACACGAUCGAAGUGCACGCCGUCUACGAGCCGGAGCAGCACGGCAGCACCUACACCUUCGAGCCCCUCCCGGACGCGCACUUGGACAAGGUAGAGAAGAUCGCCAAGGCACUGGGUCUGCGGCGCGUCGGGGUGGCGUGUACGCAUCCGAUGCGCGACCCGGAGCACAUCUUGCUGAACUUCCGCGAGCUGCUGCUGUGCGCCAAGGAGCAGUCUCGCUACGGUGACGAGUGCGCCUUGCUCACCGUGGCACCGGCAGCCAUGCCAUCGACGAAGAGCGGAGGCACGACAAGCGCGCCGGGUGAGCUCCCCACCGGCUCCGCGGCGGCGUCGAGCGGUCCAACACUAGAGCCGACCAUCGUCGUCUCCUGCCAAGCCUGGCAGACGUCGCCGCAGUGCGUCCACCUUUACCGUCUUGGGGUGCUGCAGGAGUCCUCGGGUGGCGAGGCGGCGCUGCAGGACGUGGAGCAGGCGCGGCAGGUGCAUUGCACAAUGGCGUUGGAGGUGGCCCAGACGGACACCGACCCACGCGGGCACCAGCGCUUUGUCACGAAGGCGCCGAGCACCGAGAUCGAUACGCGCUGGUUCACGAGCUACAUCGCAGUGCAGCAGUUCGAGUCGCCCAUCGUCCGUGGAGCCUUCAUGCGACUCUCGCGGCCAGGCAUGCCGCCGCCGGUUCUGCAGAACCUGCGCAACUACAUCCGCGAUCCAAAGCGGAAGAGCAUGUCAUUUGCCGAGACGAUCGCCGACUUCCACGUGCUCGUGUACCUCCUGACGCAGAUCUUCACCUCUGACGACGAGCUUCGCGCCCUGUGCUCCGUGGCGCGCACCAAGAUGAUGACGGAGGAGGCGGCCAACUACCAGGCCAUCCUGCUGGGGAUGAUGUCUGCGUAAGAGGGUGGAGAGAGGAGAACGCGCAUUCAUGUGUGUGUGUGUGUGUGUGUGUGUUUGCGCCUCAAAGGGCUCAGAGGUGUCUUUCCACGCGCGGGACAGACCUCAUCUCUUCUCUGCUUCGAAGAAAUGCGGCUCCCCGUCUCUUCAGUAUCGCAGGCGUUUUCUUCUCUGUGUGUCGCAAGCAGAGGCAUUGAUGCUUCUUUACCCCCUCUCACCAUUGCACGCGCUGAGGCCGUGUAGCGUGUGUGUGCCGUUGUUUCUCUACUGUGGGCUUGUCAUUCUGCGUGUGGUGAUGUCAUGCUUCACGCAUGCGCAUGUGCGGGCGUCUACGUGCGUUGCUCGCUCGCUCUCUCAGAAUCUGCAGAAGCAAGAGUGAUACGGCAAGCGCAGAGGGGACAGCCGCCCCGAUGCAGGAGCCAUACAGAAACGGCUAAUAGAGAAGUGCUCGACGCGGCAGGUAGCAACGGGUGCGCGAUCUGUAUUCAAG